UUCUACAGCUACAGCCACUGCCAGCCAUAUCAUAGCACUGAAAAAAGAACACAUAUUUUAAGAUUUUUUCUAAAGUAAAAAGGAAGAUUUUACGACAUUUCUAUUUUAUUAUAUAUCGUGACGUUUUACUACAAGGAGAUACAAUGCAUUUCACAUUACAAAAGCGAAAUAAGACGUGGAUGCCAGCUAUCAAUCUGAGCAUCGUGGGAUUGAUGGUUUAUAUUAUGGCCUGCCCUGCGUCCAGUAUGGAUGUCCUGGUCCAUAACCGCAUCAACGUCCUGAACGGCACCAUGGUGAGGAUCCAGUGCAUCUUCACCUCCUGCUACAAGGUGGACGUCAACAAGUUUGCCAUGAACUGGACCUACCAGGAGAACACCAACGAGACUGAGGAGAUGUUCAUGACCUAUAAGAAGGGGAUGAUGCCCAUGCGGACAGACCGGUUCAGUGACCGGGUGCAGUUUGUGGGUAACCUGGAAAAGAACGACUUGUCGAUCACCCUCUCUGAUGUCCAGCUGUCGGACGAGGGAGUCUAUAACUGCUACGUCCGUAACCCCCCUGACCGCAUCCAGGGCCACGGAAUCAUCAACAUGUUUGUCGUCACAGAAUUGCCUCCCCCUCGGGACUCAACAAUAGCGGUGGCGAUCGGGGCAUCAGUCGGCGGUGCGCUGGCUCUGCUCAUCCUGUCCAUGGUGGUGGUGAAGUGUAUAAGGCGCCACAAGAAACAGGAGCUCAUCUCUGACGAGCAGAAGAUGGAGGAAGAGGGCAAGCUGGAUGCAGAGGGGGGCACCGAGGAGGGAACCAAGCAGCUAUAACCGGCCUGCAUGGUCCUGGAGGCCCAAGGUUCGCUGGAGCCACACCCACUCCCUCACGCUGGAAAGCAUUCCUGCCUGAAGAUGUAUAGCGACCCUUCCUUGAAUCCUUGUCCAGCAUCUGCCUCACCCCACGCCCCCUCCUUCCCUCCCCUUGUCCAGCCAAACAAAAUUGCCGUUGUGGGAAGCCCCAGCCGCCAGCCACGCCACCCACGCCACCCACGCCACCCCUGCCUCUGUCUUCAGUCGGCCAUCUUAUCUUCUCUCUGCUUUGACAAGAAGCCACAAAAGGCGGAGGAGGCUAGUGGACGGCGGCCUCCAAACGACAUUCCUCAUUCCCCUUUUUCCUCGCUUCUAGUCUCUCUUAAAAUACAGACGUAGGACAUGUGAAGUACAAUGCAGGACAUUUAAAAUGUGUACUGUAUUUGAGGUUUAAAAAGGGUCCUGAAGUCAUUUACACUUGGACAUUUUAGACCAGAUUUUCCCUUACGAAUAAUGUAUCAACUCCAAGAGAAAUAUCAAUUCAUUAUGAUCCACAUAAUAAUUAACAUGUCCUGCCGCUGCAGGAUUAUUUUCCUACUGUAGCAAACUGGCACAAAUUAAAACAGCCGUGAUUACUGGGAAAGAUCCCGCUCUCUCUCUCUCUCUCUCUCUAUCUCUCUCUCUCUCUCUCCAUCUCUCU